rnacentral:rRNA from 1 species
CCUACGGGUGGCAGCAGUGAGGAAUAUUGGUCAAUGGGCGAGAGCCUGAACCAGCCAAGUCGCGUGAGGGAGUACUGCCCUAUGGGUUGUAAACCUCUUUUGUCGGGGAGCAAAAGCCGGACGUGUCCGGCUGUGAGAGUACCCGAAGAAAAAGCAUCGGCUAACUCCGGGCCAGCCGCCGCGGUAAUACGGAGGAUGCGAGCGUUAACCGGAUUUACUGGGUUUAAAGGGUGCGCAGGCGGAUUUUUAAGUAAGCGGUCAACUCGUGGGGCUCAACCCCAUCACGUCGUUGAAACUGGGGAUCUAGAGGGUGCGAGAGGUAUGCGGAAUGCGUGGUGUAGCGGUGAAAUGCAUCGAUAUCACGCAGAACCCCGAUUGCGAAGGCAGCAUACCGGUGCACAACUGACGCUCAGGCACGAAAGCGUGGGUAUCGAACAGGAUUAGAUACCCCAGUAGUC